rnacentral:lncRNA from 1 species
CGGCAUAGAGCGGUGGAGCUAUUAGCUCCGCGCUGCAGACAUCAUUAGGAGUGGAGGGAGACGAUUCCACCGUCAGCGCAGGAACAGGAAGCCCUGGCAACAAGGAGAGACCGCUCUUACCAGACCAUUACACCGUACAGUAAGUCCUAGCUCUGUCUAUACUCUUAGUCUGUGUCAUUUUUUUUGUGUCACUUUUUUCUUUGCUAAGCGGUAGAGGUAGAGAAAAUGGCUGGAACUGGAAGGAAGGCGUACGCGCAAAGAGAGCGUUCGUUUAUUUCCAAAGCCUUUGAAAAUGUUUACUUCGCACUCUGACCUAUUUUAUUUGUGCCCGGAGCAUAGACGGUUGUUUGUGGUUUACAGUCAUGCACUUGUCAUUUCGAACAAAAAUGCAAACGAACUAUUAAGUUUGACACAAGAGCGCGGUGGUUUCGCGGACUUGAAAACGAGCAAGGAGUGUUUCACAGGCGGGUUGGUGUGUAGGACAGGCAAGCUAACUGCGCCACCCCAACCAGAAACAUUGCAUAAAGAAUAGUAAAAUACAUAUUUAUAGUAUAGCCUUCAACCGUCCACUUUUAAAAUGGUUGUGGUACGUGAGUAGCCUACGUGGCCGUAUGUCCACUCAUGCGACACAUUUUAGUUUCUAAUUCCAUCGCGGAAGUGUUUUAUAUUCUUCAAAAACAGGGCAAACCAACUAACCCUAGUCCACCUAAUGUAACCGGCGUCAUUAUACAAACACAUAGUACACGACAUGCCCUUUCAUUUGGGGGGGAGAAAAUGUUAUCUACUCGGUUAGGCUACAAUCGCUUUUCAUUGACGCUGGCUGGUUUGUAAAGGACAUUGGGUCUCCUGAAUGUGUCUAGUGAUUGCUCGACUACCCGUGGCGUGAUGUCACUCAUCCCAGCUUUGGUGGUUAUAUAACAGGACUGUAGGGAUCCCGGGUUGUGAUAGCGAGGUAUUUAUACUCUGUUUACAGUCAGGAAUUGCACAAUGCAUAGUAAGAUUGGCAUAGUAAAACCUGUCUUCCCAAGAGGAUAGGCUACAGACUGCUACAUGCCACCACCACUACACUGUUAUUACAUGCUUACAUUUGAUCCAGUAUCUACAAACGAAGGUGGUUGGUCAAAGAGUGUUUCAAUGUUGCCGAAAUAAAAAAACAUUAUGCUGUAAAAUGUUACAGUAACUUUGCAAUGAAGGACACUUGAUACUGCGAAAUUAUUUUUCAACAACAUGCAAGCCUGCAGUAAAACAAGAAUACACGUUGUCGUACUUUAGCGUACACCAGCUUGCUUAUGAGCAUAAUAAUGCAUAUUAAAAAAAACAUGUCUGGAGGCCGUUUUGCAAUGCAGUAACAUGACAAGAGGUGAAGUAUUUGUUGCACCUCUGUAUCCAAUAAAAAAAUGAAGAUUGGUUGGAUCACAAUUAUAAUCACAAUCUUGAUGAUCUUAUUUGUUGUGAAAUUGACUGAUAUUACUUGUUAGAUAUUACUUGACAGAUAUUACUUGUUAGAUAUUACUUGUUAGAUAUUACUUGACAGAUAUUACUUGUUAGAUAUUACUUGUUAGAUAUUACUUGACAGAUAUUACUUGAUAGAUAUUACUUGAUAGAUAUUACUUGACAGAUAUUACUUGUUAGAUAUUACUUGAUAGAUAUUACUUGAUAGAUACUGCUGCACUGUCGGAACUAGAAGCACAAGCAUUUCGCUACACUCGCAAUAACAUCUGCUAACCAUGUGUAUGUGACCAAUUUGAUUUGAUUUGAUUUUGAUGAUAAUAUAUCAUGUUUCAUCUCAAUACCUGAUAGGCCUAUGUGUUGUUUAUGUAUGCUAAUAUUUUUCAUUAUGUUGUUGCACAUACAGAGGCUUACCAUUGUUCAGUGUAUACAGUUCUCUGUACUCUGUACUGUGGAUGGCUGCUGCUAUGGAGUUGACAUUUAGACUAGGUUGUCAUUUCACCACAGAGCUUCUGUAUAUAACCUGUGUAUAUAACCUUGCCCAUUUAAACCUGUACUCUGCAGGCCACGGAACCACAUUGUUUAUUUAUGUACCUUGUCUUCUUGGUAGUGUAGUAUGAGGUGGGUAGGUUUGUGGCGGCUGAUUGACCAGUGAUAGUGUAGUAUGAGGUGGGUAGGUUUGUGGCGGCUGAUUGACCAGUGAUAGUGUAGUAUGAGGUGGGUAAGUUUGUGGCGGCUGAUUGACCAGUGAUAGUGUAGUAUGAGGUGGGUAAGUUUGUGGCGGCUGAUUGACCAGUGAUAGUGUAGUAUGAGGUGGGUAAGUUUGUGGCGGCUGACCAGUGAUAGUGUAGUUUGAGGUGGGUAGGUUUGUAGCGGCUGAUCAGUGAUAGUGUAGUUUGAGGUGGGUAGGUUUGUGGUGGCUGAUCAGUGAUAGUGUAGUAUGAGGUGGGUAGGUUUGUGGCAGCUGGCUGACCAAUGAUAGUGUAGUUUGAGGUGGGUAGGUUUGUGGCGGCUGAUCAGUGAUAGUGUAGUUUGAGGUGGGUAGGUUUGUGGCUGCUGUUUGACCAGUGAUAGUGUAGUUUGAGGUGGGUAGGUUUGGGGCGGCAGGCUGACCAGUGAUAGUGUAGUUUGAGUUGGGUGGGUUUGUGGUGGCUGGCUGGCUGACCAGUGAUAGUGUAGUUUGAGGAGGGUAGGUUUGUGGCGGCUGGCUGACCAGUGAUAGUGUAGUUUGAGGUGGGUAGGUUUGUGGCGGCUGACUGACCAGUGAUAGUGUAGUUUGAGUUGGGUAGGUUUGUGGCGGCUGACCAGUGACAGUGUAGUUUGAGGUGGGUAGGUUUGUGGCGGCUGAUUGACCAGUGAUAGUGUAGUUUGAAGUGGUUAGGUUUGUGGCUGCUGACUGACCAGUGAUAGUGUAGUAUGAGGUGGGUAGGUUUGCGACAGCUGACCAGUGAUAGUUUAGUAUGAGGUGGGUAGGUUUGUGGUGGCUGGCCAAUGAUAGUGUAGUUUGAGGUGGGUAGGUUUGUGGCGGCUGACUGACCAGUGAUAGUGUAGUUUGAGGUGGGUAGGUUUGUGGCGGCUGACCAGUGAUAGUGUAGUAUGAGGUGGGUAGGUUUGUUGCGGCUGACCAAUGAUAGUGUAGUUUGAGGUGGGUAGGUUUGUGGCGGCUGAUUGACCAGUGAUAGUGUAGUUUGAGGUGGGUAGGUUUGUGGCGGCUGACUGACCAGUGAUAGUGUAGUAUGAGGUGGGUAGGUUUGUGGCGGCUGAUUGACCAGUGAUAGUGUAGUAUGAGGUGGGUAGGUGUGUGGCGGCUGGCUGACCAGUGAUAGUGUAGUUUGAGGUGGGUAGGUUUGUGGCUGCUGACCAGUGAUAGUGUAGUUUGAGGUGGGUAGGUUUGUGGCGGCUGAUUGACCAGUGAUAGUGUAGUUUGAAGUGGGUAGGUUUGUGGCAGCUGACUGACCAGUGAUAGUGUAGUAUGAGGUGGGUAGGUUUGUGGCGGCUGACCAGUGAUAGUGUAGUAUGAGGUGGGUAGGUUUGUGGUGGCUGGCUGACCAGUGAUAGUGUAGUAUGAGGUGGGUAGGUUUGUGGCGGCUGGCUGACCAGUGAUAGUGUAGUUUGAGGUGGGUAGGUUUGUGGCGGCUGGCUGACCAGUGAUAGUGUAGUAUGAGGUAGGUAGGUUUGUGGCGGCUGAUUGACCAGUGAUAGUGUAGUUUGAAGUGGUUAGGUUUGUGGCGGCUGGCUGACCAGUGAUAGUGUAGUAUGAGAUGGGUAGGUUUGUGGCGGCUGACCAAUGAUAGUGUAGUAUGAGGUGGGUAGGUUUGUGGCGGCUGAUUGACCAGUGAUAGUGUAGUAUGAGGUGGGUAGGUGUGUGGCGGCUUGCUGACCAGUGAUAGUGUAGUUUGAGGUGGGUAGGUUUGUGGCGGCUGACUGACCAGUGAAGUGUAGUUUGAGGUGGGUAGGUGUGGGGCAGCUGGCUGACCAGUGAUAGUGUAGUAUGAGGUGGGUAGGUUUGUGGCGGCUGACCAAUGAUAGUGUAGUAUGAGGUGGGUAGGUUUGUGGCGGCUGAUUGACCAGUGAUAGUGUAGUAUGAGGUGGGUAGGUGUGUGGCGGCUUGCUGACCAGUGAUAGUGUAGUUUGAGGUGGAUAGGUUUGUUGCUGCUGACCAGUGAUAGUGUAGUUUGAGGUGGGUAGGUUUGUGGCGGCUGAUUGACCAGUGAUAGUGUAGUUUGAAGUGGGUAGGUUUGUGGCAGCUGACUGACCAGUGAUAGUGUAGUAUGAGGUGGGUAGGUUUGUGGCGGCUGACCAGAAAUAGUGUAGUAUGAGGUGGGUAGGUUUGUUGCGGCUGACCAAUGAUAGUGUAGUUUGAGGUGGGUAGGUUUGUGGCGGCUGACCAGUGAUAGUGUAGUAUGAGGUGGGUAGGUUUGUGGCGGCUGGCUGACCAGUGAUAGUGUAGUUUGAAGUGGGUAGGUUUGUGGCAGCUGACUGACCAGUGAUAGUGUAGUAUGAGGUGGGUAGGUUUGUGGCGGCUGACCAGAAAUAGUGUAGUAUGAGGUGGGUAGGUUUGUUGCGGCUGACCAAUGAUAGUGUAGUUUGAGGUGGGUAGGUUUGUGGUGGCUGACUGACCAGUGAUAGUGUAGAAUGAGGUGGGUAGGUUUGUGGCGGCUGAUUGACCAGUGAUAGUGUAGAAUGAGGUGGGUAGGUGUGUGGCAGCUGUGCAACCAGUGAUAGUGUAGUUUGAGGUGGGUAGGUGUGUGGCGGCUUGGCAACCAGUGAUAGUGUAGUAUGAGAUGGGUAGGUUUGUGGCGGCUUACCAAUGAUAGUGUAGUAUGAGGUGGGUAGGUUUGUGGCGGCUUAUCAGUGAUAGUGUUAUAUGAGGUGGGUAGGUUUGUGGCGGCUGACUGACCAGUGAAGUGUAGUUUGAGGUGGGUAGGUGUGUGGCAGCUGGCUGACCAGUGAUAGUGUAGUAUGAGGUGGGUAGGUUUGUGGCGACUGACCAAUGAUAGUGUAGUAUGAGGUGGGUAGGUUUGUGGCGGCUGGCUGACCAGUGAUAGUGUAGUUUGAGGUGGGUAGGUUUGUGGCGGCUGGCUGACCAGUGAUAGUGUAGUUUGAGGUGGGUAGGUUUGUGGCGGCUGGCUGACCAGUGAUUGUGUAGUUUGGGGUGGGUAGGUUUGUGGCGGCUGGCUGAACAGUGAUAGUAUAGUUUGAGGUUGGUUGUUUUGUAGCGGCUGGCUGACCAGUUAUAGUGUAGUUUGAAGUGGGUGGGUUUGUGGCGGCUGACCAAUGAUAGUGUAGUAUGAGGUGGGUAGGUUUGUGGCAGCUGGCUGACGAGUGAUAGUGUAGUUUGAGGUGGGUAGGUUUGUGGUGGCUGACCAGUGAUAGUGUAGUUUGAGGUGGGUAGAUUUGUGGCGGCUGACCAGUGAUAGUGUAGUUUGAGGUGGGUAAGUUUCUGGCGGCUGACUGACCAGUGAUAGUGUAGUAUGAGGUGGGUAGGUUUGUGGCGGCUGGCUGACCAUUGAUAGUGUAGUUUGAGGUGGGUAGGUUUGUGGCGGCUGACCAAUGAUAGUGUAGUUUGAGGUGGGUAGGUUUGUGGCGGCUGAUUGACCAGUGAUCGUGUAGUAUGAGGUGGGUAGGUUUGUGGCGGCUGACUGACCACAAAUAGUGUACUUUGUGGUGGGUAUGUUUGUGGCGGCUGACCAGUGAUAGUGUAGUUAGAGGUGGGUAGGUUUGUGCCCGCUGACCAGUGGUAGUGUAGUUUGAGGUGGGUAGGUUUGUGCCCGCUGACCAGUGAUAGUGUAGUUUGAGGUGGGUAUGUUUGUGGCUGCUGACUAACCAGUGAUAGUGUAGUUUGAGGUGGGUAGGUUUGUGGCGGCUGUCUUACCAGUGGUAGUGUAGUUUGAGGUGGGUAGGUUUCUGGCGGCUGACUGACCAGUGGUAGUGUAGUUUGAGGUGGGUAGGUUUGUGGCGGCUAGCUGACCAGUGAUUGUGUAGUUUGGGGUGGGUAGGUUUGUGGCGGCUGGCUGAACAGUGAUAGUAUAGUUUGAGGUUGGUUGUUUUGUAGCGGCUGGCUGACCAGUUAUAGUGUAGUUUGAAGUGGGUAGGUUUGUGGCGGCUGACCAGUGUUAGUGUAGUUUGAGGUGGGUAGGUUUGUGGCGGCUGAUUGACCAGUGAUAGUGUAGUUUGAGGUGGGUAGGUUUGUGGCGGCUGACUGAUCAGUGAUAGUGUAGUAUGAGGUGGGUAGGUUUGUGGCGGCUGACCAAUGAUAGUGUAGUAUGAGGUGGGUAGGUUUGUGGCAGCUGGCUGACGAGUGAUAGUGUAGUUUGAGGUGGGUAGGUUUGUGGCGGCUAACCAGUGAUAGUGUAGUAUGAGGUGGGUAGGUUUGUGGCGGCUGACCAAUGAUAGUGUAGUAUGAGGUGGGUAGGUUUGUGGCAGCUGGCUGACCAGUGAAGUGUAGUUUGAGGUGGGUAGGUUUGUGGCAGCUGGCUGACCAGUGAUAGUGUAGUUUGAGGUGGUAGGUUUGUGGUGGCUGACCAGUGAUAGUGUAGUUUGAGGUGGGUAGAUUUAUGGCGGCUGACCAGUGAUAGUGUAUUAUGAGGUGGGUAGGUUUGUGGCGGCUGAUUGACCAGUGAUAGUGUAGUAUGAGGUGGGUAGGUUUGUGGCAGCUGGCUGACCAGUGAUAGUGUAGUUUGAGGUGAGUAGGUUUGUGGCGGCUGACCAAUGAUAGUGUAGUUUGAGGUGGAUAGGUUUGUGGCGGCUGAUUGACCAGUGAUAGUGUAGUAUGAGGUGGGUAGGUUUGUGGCGGCUGGCUGAACAGUGAUAGUAUAGUUUGAGGUUGGUUGUUUUGUAGCGGCUGGCUGACCAGUUAUAGUGUAGUUUAAGGUGGGUAGGUUUGUGGCGGCUGAUUGACCAGUGAUAGUGUAGUUUGAGGUGGGUAGGUUUGUGGCGGCUGACUGAUCAGUGAUAGUGUAGUAUGAGGUGGGUAGGUUUGUGGCGGCUGACCAAUGAUAGUGUAGUUUGAGGUGGAUAGGUUUGUGGCGGCUGAUUGACCAGUGAUAGUGUAGUAUGAGGUGGGUAGGUUUGUGGCGGCUGACUGAACACAAAUAGUGUACUUUUUGGUGGGUAUGUUUGUGGCGGCUGACCAGUGAUAGUGUAGUUUGAGGUGGGUAGGUUUGUGCCCGCUGACCAGUGGUAGUGUAGUUUGAGGUGGGUAGGUUUGUGCCCGCUGACCAGUGAUAGUGUAGUUUGAGGUGGGUAUGUUUGUGGCGGCUGGCUGAACAGUGAUAGUAUAGUUUGAGGUUGGUUGUUUUGUAGCGGCUGGCUGACCAGUUAUAGUGUAGUUUAAGGUGGGUAGGUUUGUGGCGGCUGAUUGACCAGUGAUAGUGUAGUUUGAGGUGGGUAGGUUUGUGGCAGCUGGCUGACCAGUGAAGUGUAGUUUGAGGUGGGUAGGUUUGUGGCAGCUGGCUGACCAGUGAUAGUGUAGUUUGAGGUGGGAAGGUUUGUGGCGGCUGACUGACCAGUGAUAGUGUAGUUUGAGGUGGGUAGGAUUGUGGUGGCUGACCAGUGAUAGUGUAGUUUGAGGUGGGUAGAUUUAUGGCGGCUGACCAGUGAUAGUGUAUUAUGAGGUGGGUAGGUUUGUGGCGGCUGAUUGACCAGUGAUAGUGUAGUAUGAGGUGGGUAGGUUUGUGCCCGCUGACCAGUGGUAGUGUAGUUUGAGGUGGGUAGGUUUGUGCCCGCUGACCAGUGAUAGUGUAGUUUGAGGUGGGUAUGUUUGUGGCGGCUGACUAACCAGUGGUAGUGUAGUUUGAGGUGGGUAGUUUUCUGGCGGCUGACUGACCAGUGGUAGUGUAGUUUGAGGUGGGUAGGUUUGUGGCCGCUGGCUGACCAGUUAGUGUGGAGUGCUUCAGGGCACCACAGGUUUAAACUGCAUGGUCUCUACCAGUUCAGUUCACCUGAUGGUGGUGAAUCCCUCUAUAGCACAUAUUACCACUCUUCUAUUUUAGAUAUAAAAUUGAACCUUUAUUUAACUAGGCAAGUCAGUUAAGAACAAACUCUUAUUUACAAUGACGGCCUAACCCGGCCGAUGCUGGGACAAAUUGUGCGCCGCCGUAUGGGACUCCCAAUCACGACCUGUUGUGAUACAGCCUGGAAUCGAGCCAUGGUCUGUAGUGACACCUCUAGCACUGAGAGACAGUGCCUUAGACUGCUGCUCCACUCAGGAGAUAUGUGAAUGAUGCAGGCUAGGGGUACGUUCAUUCGUCCAAAUGUUUGAGAUGUUUUCAAAACCUAUUUUCAAUCUGAAUGGUAGAAGACAAAUAGUGCCAUGAUUAUUUCCUGACCAUGUCACCUGACCAGGGACAAACUCCUAGCCCCUAGCUAGUUAUUACCCAUUAACUACAAUUUGUGGCCAGAGUUUUUCCUGGUCAGAUGACAUGGUCAGCAGGAAAAACUCAGCAUCAUUAUUUCAGCAACCAUAACGUCUUCUCUAAAAACCUUUCAAAAUGUUUCUUCCAACGGGGAGCUAAUGAACGCGACCCUAUCCGUUGUGCAGGGAUCUAAUCAUGUGACGGGGAAUUAGGGGGCUGCCAUUUCUCCCUGCACUUCCCUUUGAUCCUGUCCGCCACACACACACACACACACACACACACACACACACACACACACACACACACACACACACACACACACGUAUGCACAGCAUCUCCAACUCACACAUUUAUGCUACCGUGCAUGUGUGCAAAAUGAAGAAAAACGUGAUACACCUUGCCUUUAAAGUGAGGGCUGGGUUUUGAAGUGCCCGGUCUUGCCCUGACUUCCGGAGAUAUUUCCAGGUAUUGUCUGGGUAGGCUAGUCUUUCAUGGUUGACUGAGAGAGUGAUAUAAGAUGAGCCACACCCCUAUACCUGCAGAAAGAAACAGGCUGUGUGUGUGUGUGUGUGUGUGUGUGUGUGUGUGUGUGUGUGUGUGUGUGUGUGUGUGUGUGUGUGUGUGUGUGUGUGUGUGUGCGUGUGUGUCUGUGAGUGUGUGUGUGUGUGUGUGUGUGUGUGUGUGUGUGAAUGUGAUUCUACUCUGAGCAAAACAAGGGGACGAACCCAGUCAAUGACCAAUGAUUGGCAGUCUCUUCAAAAUAUGUGUGUGUACAUGUGUGUUUACAUAGAAGAUGGGCAGUACCCACACACACUGCUUGGCUUCCACUUUCACUUGCAGCUAGAGCAGGGUCCAAGGGUAGAUAGACAGUAGGGCUAGUUAGACCUCACGACAUGAUAUUAUCAGCAUACUUAGGUGCCGAUUCUAUAUGUACUGCGAUUCUCACUAUUCUCCUGAUUCUAUAUGUACU